GCAUGACCAAGAUCAGAAGUUAAGGACAAGAUACAUUGAAUAUUUUUUAAUAAUGUUGAUAAAUAAAAACAAUAUUGUGAAUGGAGACUAAAAAUAUCAGACCGACAAGUAGUUCUAGGAAUACCGUUAAACAUAAGAUUAUAAAUUGCGUGUAUAUAACGAAUAAAGGCAUCAGAAGAAGGAAAACUAAAAGACAAACAACCCACAGCUACCAUUUUAG
rnacentral:lncRNA from 1 species